rnacentral:miRNA from 1 species
GCAGACACAUUCCAGCCAAUCAGCAGCAGACCCUCCCUCCCAGACCCUCCCACCACCUGGACAGCAUCCAUUUUGAAGCUGCAUUCUUAGUGAGCUGUCCAGAAGGUGGGAGGGUCUGGGAGGGAGGGUCUGCUGCUGAUUGGCUGGAAUGUGUCUG